CAGACGUGAAGCAGACUCUGAUCCUCUGAGGUCUUUCAGGCUUCGGCCUCCGUCUCGACACACAUCACGUCUAACUGCUGUGCAUGCUUCAUCGUAUUCGCCAUCUCAUUGUUGGUUCUGUCUUUAAGUCUUCGUGUGUUCUGACAGAAAUAUUCUUCAGACUCAUCGAUCGGCCGCAACAUGAAACCAGAGACGGCUGAAGUCUCCAGAGAGAGAGAGUGUUAUCAGCACUGUGCAGCCCCCCUGAUCCUGGCAGAGCUGAGUCGGUUCAUACAGGGGGUAAUGUGUCCUUCUGCUGUGUGCAUGUGUGUGUGCAUGAGAGAGAGUGAGAGUCAUGCUGCAUGGAUAAAACGAUUAGUGAAAUAUAGGCAAGAGGAGGAAGAAAAAAUGGACUCUGGACAGGAGAGAAGGAUGAAGGAAAAGGAAAGUAGCAAAUAAGACGAGAGGGCGUGAAAGGAUGAAAGGAGGAGAAGAGAUUCUAGAAAAUGAUCAGAAAGAUAAAGAUGGAGAUAAUGAUGUAACCACACAUGAUGGCCCCACUGGUUUCUGGGCUCCACAUUUUGAAGCCUCAACAUUCGCCUUCUGGCCUCAGCCAUGUUGGUCUGUUGGAGCCAGAGCAAAGUCCUGCUGGAAGCAAGUCUCACAGCUAGGCAGCCAUCUUGGAACAAAUCCAGGCAUUUAUUUGGAAGCCCAUAGUGAAAUGAGAAGGACAAAGAAAUAACUUUAUUUUCAGAGGCCAGUGCUUCAAAAAAUAUAAAAGUUUUGCCCCAAAUUAUGAUUUAAACACAACUUCACAACUCCAAUAACGGCUCGGUCCACAGUGCUGACACGACCGGUACCUCUGCUCAUCUUUGCUAUCAGAGCACUGAACAGACUCCGUGAUCAUUUACGUUACGGACACAGUGAGCCAAGUUUCAGAUGCUCUUUAGGCGUUUUUAGAUUCUCAGAAAUCCCCCUCAGAUUUCUCUGUAAUGGUUUAUAUUGUGUUUGGUUGGACUGACAGGUAAAACAUACAAACAUCCUGAUUGUCAUGAUUGCCCUUUUUUAAAUAAUCCCAGGAAGCAGACUCAGACAGUGAAAAGCAGGUUUACAGUGUUUACAUGAGUGAAGUAAAUAACAGGAACUGGAGCAGGCAGGAACAAAAGACAGCACCGCAGGUCUGAGAGGGUCUGUGGAGGGAGAGGAAGGGAGUCAGUACAGGUAAGUGGAGAAGUAUGAAUGGCUGCUUUGAUUAGUGUGUUUGUUAGCCUUACUUUGCAGAGAUACGAUAAUAGGGGUAUUUGCAAAAAGGCUGACAGAGUCUUCUGGUGCGGGUGGUGGACAGUGGGUGGACAGGUGAGUCUCCAGUGACAGGAAAGUUUUCCACACGGAUACAACGAAACUGCUGACAGAAUCUGCGACUGAGAUAGAAGAGGUAAGAGUGAGUCUUUGGGUACGAAGCUCUGCAGAGGAGACGACAAGCAACUUUGGGGAAACGAGGAUGAAGAACGGAGCCAAAUUGCCCGUGGUGGAAAUAAUGAUCAGGUGGAGAUCCAUCACCAGAGCUGGCUCCUAAAUACACAGCCACACAAUUGGAAACAACCUGCAGGUGUGUGGGGGUGAACGCAGAGCUGACCCACUCAAAGCUGGUGCCAGACAUGAAAGUGCCCAGAGCUACACAGAGAGAGAAACAACAGCCUACCUCCCCAAGACCAUGGCUCAAUGUGUGGCACAGCAGCUACCACACAUUUUUAUUUCUUUAUUUUGCAGAAGCAUUUUUACACAUGGGCACAACAGCCUGCUCAGACUGCAACUAGCUUUCAGCAAAAAGAUUCCAGAUUUUUGUUUAAUCAGAUAAUAUAUCAUACAACCUCAUAUAUGUCCUCUGCUUACAGAAUUCAGCCCUGCUUUGCACAUAGGAGCAAGAAAAAACACCAAGAAUAUUUGGCCUACAGCCAUAUGCAAAUCAAAUACAUAAAUAAGUAAAUAGUUUGGCUCUGCUACGGAGAGCAGCUUCCAUAAACUAAACUAUACAGAUAUCUGCCAAUCAGGGCUGAGCAACAGACUAAUAAAAUACAAGACUUUUAUCACCAAAACUGAAGCACAGACUUCUCGAACCCUACAUCAAGUCACAUAAUUCGUCAGAUAAUUUGAUAAAAAAAAUUCUCCAUAAGGGAGAAACAGCACAAAGAGGAAAGGUUCAGUGACUGAAGUCAGUGGAGGUGAAGCAGUGGAGGUACACCCGUCAACGACGCCAGAAACAUUAAGCUUUAAAAAAACUCAGAUACUUAUUAAAGGAAAUCCCUGAAAAUUUGUUAGUAGUAAGAGACCAAAAGUGAUUUCUACAGCAGGUAGUUUCAUGGCUGAUUCACUUUCCAGAGAGCCUCUAGUGGCCAUUAGAGGAGCUGCAGGUUUUUGGCAUUGAGGCUUCAUUUUUCAGUCGUUUGCUUACCACAAACUCGCAAAACAAAAUAUAAUUCAACAUGCCACAAAAGCACGAAACAACCACAAACAGCACGUCAGGAACGGUUAGCUCUCCCUGUGUGAAUCCUGCUGCUCUGCAGAAGGACUACGAGGAAAUAAUCCAUCGCUAUUAGAAAGAGUUACUGUACAUGUGGAGAUGCAGACCAACUGCUGACAGGAAGACAAGAGAAGCAGGUGGGUUUCAUCAGGGAAAACAUGUCAGUCCAAACCAGCAUCUCCCAAAUAAUUUUGUGAUCAUUUUCUGAAAGCCUGAUGGUUUGUUACUUUCAGUACUCUGAGACGAGAUAAAGGAAAUGGAGACGCACAGAAAUGAGGGGUAUAAAAAUACAGAAGACGAAAGAAGCCAACGCAGAGCGAGGAGAGAGAAUAUGGCGAUGUGAGCGGAGCGAGAAGCAGAUUAAGGAUCCCGCAGAAAAGGAAUAAAUGAUGAAAACUGGAAAUAAAGGAAGAUGGAGAAGAGCGGAGAAGACAGGGAUUAGUAACAGCGAGGGAUUACAGGAUGAAGAAAAGUCUUUGAUGGUCUCGGUUAUGAAUGAGAUGCUGUGAGUCACAGAUUAACUCCUUAUGUUCCAGAUUAACAGGAGAAGACGGAUGAUUAUACUGCUGUGACAGGACUUUGGCUUAUGGAUAAUGGAUCAUGGAUCUUAUAACCAGACUGGAGACCUCACGGAGAAUCCUGCCGUUGUCCUGCUGGCUUCAUAAAAAAGCAAAAUUAGGGUCACAGGGACUGGAGCCCAUCCCUGCUACCGCAGGGUGAGAGGCCCGGUGCACCCUGGACAGGUCACCAAUCUGACGAAGGGCUUAUCAGUUAACCUAACCCCACUAACACUAAUGUGUUUGGACUGUGGGAGGAAGCCAG